rnacentral:rRNA from 1 species
CUGUGUGUUGUUGGGUAGGGGAGCGUUCUGUAAGCCUGUGAAGGUGUGUCGUGAGGCAUGCUGGAGGUAUCAGAAGUGCGAAUGCUGACAUAAGUAACGAUAAAGCGGGUGAAAAGCCCGCUCGCCGGAAGACCAAGGGUUCCUGUCCAACGUUAAUCGGGGCAGGGUGAGUCGACCCCUAAGGCGAGGCCGAAAGGCGUAGUCGAUGGGAAACGGGUUAAUAUUCCCGUACUUGGUGUUACUGCGAAGGGGGGACGGAGAAGGCUAUGUUGGCCGGGCGACGGUUGUCCCGGUUUAAGCGUGUAGGUGUGUGUUCCAGGUAAAUCCGGUUCACUUUAACACUGAGGCGUGACGACGAGGCACUACGGUGCUGAAGCAACAAAUGCCCUGCUUCCAGGAAAAGCCUCUAAGCAUCAGGUAACAUCAAAUCGUACCCCAAACCGACACAGGUGGUCAGGUAGAGAAUACCAAGGCGCUUGAGAGAACUCGGGUGAAGGAACUAGGCAAAAUGGUGCCGUAACUUCGGGAGAAGGCACGCUGACACGUAGGUGAAGUGAUUUACUCAUGGAGCUGAAGUCAGUCGAAGAUACCAGCUGGCUGCAACUGUUUAUUAAAAACACAGCACUGUGCAAACACGAAAGUGGACGUAUACGGUGUGACGCCUGCCCGGUGCCGG